GUGCUUGCUUCGGCAGCACAUAUACUAAAAUUGGAACGAUACAGAGAAGAUUAGCAUGGCCCCUGCACAAGGAUGACACGCAAAAUCGUGAAACGUUCCAUAUUAAA
rnacentral:snRNA from 1 species